GACGAACGCUGGCGGCGCGCUUAACACAUGCAAGUCGAACGGAAAGGCCUGCUUUCCCUUGUGGAUUGCAGGUACUCGAGUGGCAAACGGGUGAGUAACACGUGAGUGAUCUGCCCCCAACUUGGGUAUAAGCCUGGGAAACUGGGUCUAAUUCCCGAUAGGACUGCAGGGUGGUGCCUGUGGUGGAAAACGAUUUUCUAGUGGUUGGGGAUGAGCUCGCGGCCUAUCAGCUUGUUGGUGGGGUAAUGGCCUACCAAGGCGGCGACGGGUAGCCGGCCUGAGAGGGUGGACGGCCACAUUGGGACUGAGAUACGGCCCAGACUCCUACGGGAGGCAGCAGUGGGGAAUAUUGCACAAUGGGCGGAAGCCUGAUGCAGCGACGCCGCGUGGGGGAUGACGGCCUUCGGGUUGUAAACUCCUUUCGACCGCGAGGAAGCCACCUGGUUGGAAGGGUGGUGACGGUAGUGGUAGAAGAAGCACCGGCUAACUACGUG
rnacentral:rRNA from 1 species